rnacentral:lncRNA from 1 species
GCUCUAAAUGCUUUGGUUUCAGAGAUAUAAUCCAAAAUCUACAUUUUACCCCUACGUUCUAUUUUUAGCCAUGGCGGCCAUCUUGGUUGGACACAUUUUUAAAACUAAAUACCCUAAUGAUUAUUGUGGCUAAGUUUGGUUAAAUUUGGUUCAGUAGUUUCAGAGGAGAAGCUUUUUGUAAAAGUUAACAGACGACGCCGGACGACGGACGCAAAGUGAUGAGAAAAGCUCACUUGGCCCUUCGAGCCAGGUGAGCUAAAAACAAGUUUAUGUGUCAAUCAUUGUGUAUGACAAAUAUACCAUUUAUAUUCCCGUAUUUAACUAACAUAUUCUAAUGCACAC